CCUACGUGAGGCAGCAGUAGGGAAUAUUGCUCAAUGGGCGAAACCCUGAAGCAGCAACGCCGCGUGGAGGAUGAAGGUUUUCGGAUUGUAAACUCCUUUUUUUAGAGAAGAUAAUGACGGUAUCUAACGAAUAAGCACCGGCUAACACCGAUCCAGCAGCCGCGGUAAUACGGAGGGUGCAAGCGUUAGUCGGAGUCACUGGGCGUAAAGAGAGCGUAGGCGGGAUAGUAAGUGAGAUGUGAAAUCCUAUGGCUUAACCAUAGAACUGCAUUUGAAACUGUUAUUCUAGAGUAUGGGAGAGGUAGGUGGAAUUCUUGGUGUAGGGGUGAAAUGCGUAGAGAUCAAGAAGAAUACUGAUUGCGAAGGCGACAUGCUAGAACAUAACUGACGCUGAUGCGCGAAAGCGUGGGGAGCAAACAGGAUUAGAUACCCCAGUAGUC
rnacentral:rRNA from 1 species